rnacentral:rRNA from 1 species
UGGGGAAUCAUGGUCAAUGGGCGAAAGCCUGAACCUGCGACGCCGCGUGAGCGAAGACGGCCUUCGGGUUGUAAACCGCUUUCAGCAGGGACGAAGCGCAAGUGACGGUACCUGCAGAAGAAGCACCGGCUAACUACGUGCCAGCAGCCGCGGUGAUACGUAGGGUGCGAGCGUUGUCCGGAUUUAUUGGGCGUAAAGAGCUUGUAGGCGGUUAGUCGCGUCGUAAGUGCAAACUCAGGGAUUAACCCUGAGCCUGCUUUCGAUACGGGCUGACUAGAGGAAGGUAGGGGAGAAUGGAAUUCCCGGUGGAGCGGUGGAAUGCGCAGAUAUCGGGAGGAACACCAGUGGCGAAGGCGGUUCUCUGGACCUUUCCUGACGCUGAGAAGCGAAAGCGUGGGGAGCAAACA